rnacentral:rRNA from 1 species
GACGAGCGCUGGCGGCAAGCUUAACACAUGCAAGUCGAACGCCGUAGCAAUACGGAGUGGCAGACGGGUGAGUAACACGUGGGAACGUGCCUUUCGGUUCGGAACAACUGAGGGAAACUUCAGCUAAAACCGGAUACGCCCUUCGGGGGAAAGUUUACGCCGAAGGAUCGGCCCGCGUCAGAUUAGGUAGUUGGCGGGGUAAUGGCCCACCAAGCCGAUGAUCUGUAGCUGUUCUGAGAGGAAGAUCAGCCACACUGGGACUGAGACACGGCCCAGACUCCUACGGGAGGCAGCAGUGGGGAAUAUUGGACAAUGGGCGCAAGCCUGAUCCAGCUAUGCCGCGUGGAUGAAGAAGGCCUUCGGGUUGUAAAGUCCUUUCGGCGGGGAAGAUAAUGACGGUACCCGCAGAAGAAGCCCCGGCUAAUUUCGUGCCAGCCGCCGCCGUAACAC